rfam:Chaetura pelagica isolate M959 contig413, whole genome shotgun sequence.
AUCACUUCUCGGCCUCUUGGCUAAGAUCAAGUGUAGUAUCUGUUCUUAUCAGUUUAAUAUCUGAUAUGUCCUCGAUGAGAGGACUUUAUAUUAAACGGAUUUUUGGUUGUGGGAGUUUGACCCAGACCUUGCUCCCUUUUAUUUGUCAUCUUGAGUGUUAUUAGAAGACAUGUAGAGGAUAACCAGG